rnacentral:rRNA from 1 species
GAUUAACGCUAGCGGCAGGCAUAAUACAUGCAAGUUGAACGGCAGCACAGGUAGCAAUACUGGGUGGCGAGUGGCGCACGGGUGCGUAACACGUAUGCAACCUACCCUAUACAGGCGAAUAACCUUUAGAAAUGAGGGCUAAUACGCCGUAGUAUUACAGAUGGGCAUCUAUUUGUAAUUAAAGAUUUAUCGGUAUAGGAUGGGCAUGCGUCCCAUUAGUUAGUUGGUAAGGUAACGGCUUACCAAGACGAUGAUGGGUAGGGGAUCUGAGGGGACUUACCCCCACACUGGUACUGAGACACGGACCAGACUCCUACGGGAGGCAGCAGUAAGGAAUAUUGGGCAAUGGCCGCGAGGCUGACCCAGCCAUGCCGCGUGCAGGAAGACGGCCUUAUGGGUGGUAAACUGCUUUUAUACGGGAAUAAUAGAGUGUACGCGUACAUUUAUGCAAGUAUCGUAUGAAUAAGCAUCGGCUAACUCCGUG